ensembl:ncRNA lncRNA:CR44311 long non-coding RNA:CR44311
AGCACACAUGAGAGGGUCGAACAUUUCGGGCCUGAUUGAGUGGCCAAAAUGUCAGAUGUGCGGGGCGACAAUUCAGUUAGCUGUUUAAUUUGCCUGAAAUAAUUGAGCCCCGGACGUUAAUUGGCCCACGUCGUCGGCAGCGUUUAAUUACUAAAUUAUACACAUAUUUGUGCAGUUGGAAGAAACGCCAAAACAGCAUGUCUUACUUGGACAAAUGAAUUAUGCAUAACAAGUUGGACACUCAAAUUUAGAAGGGUAUUUUCAAGUGCAAGACUUUUCUAUUGGUUCCCUUAUUUGAUUGGUAGCAUCUCCAAAAUAAAGACGGCGAAUAAUU